rnacentral:sRNA from 1 species
AUGGGAGCUGAAAGCAAUGAAAGUCUUGACCUCCUAUCUGUCUUCCUGACUGGCAUCCCAGGACUGGAGGCCCAACAUGGUUGGCUCUCCAUCCCUUCCUUCACCAUGUACAUUGUGGCCAUUGGGGGAAACAUCCUAAUUAUGGCAGCAGUGCAGGAGGACUCUGCCCUACAUGAGCCCAUGUACCUAUUUCUCUCCAUGUUGGCUGUCACUGAGGUGGGCGUCUCUGUGUCUACACUGCCUACUGUUACGGGCAAUCUUUGGUUUGAUGCCCACAGAGUUGACUUUGAUGGCUGCCUGGCCCAGAUGUUGUUCAUUCACACCUUCUCCUGCAUGGAGUCAGGGGUCCUACUAGCCAUGAGCUAUGACCGCUUUGUAGCCAUCUACAACCCCCUGCGCUAUACAGCCAUCCUGACCCUGCCCCGUAUUAUCUGCAUGGGUCUGGGCAUUACACUGAAGAGUGUGGCACUCAUGGCCCCACUUCCAAUCCUUUUGAGGCAACUGCCCUAUUGCCACACUAAUGUCCUCUCACACUCCUACUGCCUCCACUCAGAUCUGAUCCAGCUGCCUUGUGCAGAUACUGAACUCAACAGCAUCCUGGGCUUAGCCAUUGUUCUCGCAACUUUCGGGCUGGACUCAUUGCUUAUCGUGGUCUCUUAUGUCUUGAUUCUUUAUACAGUGAUGGGCAUUGCUUCUGGAGAGGGACGGUGGAAGGCUCUCAACACAUGUGUGUCACAUAUUUGUGCAGUGCUUAUAUAUUAUGUGCCCAUGAUUGGGGUGUCUGUGAUGCAUCGUGCUGCCAAACAUGCUUCACCCAUUGUCCACACACUUAUGUCUAGCAUCUACCUUUUUGUGCCACCUGUACUUAAUCCCAUCAUCUAUAGUGUUAACACCCAGCCAAUAAGACAGAGAAUUCUCACCUUGUUUUCCUGCAAGAGGGAAUUGCUCUGA